AGUUCGAUUAUGGCUCAGAUUGAACGCUGGCGGGAUGCUUUUACACAUGCAAGUCGAACGGCAGCACGGACUUCAGUCUGGUGGCGAGUGGCGAACGGGUGAGUAAUGUAUCGGAACGUGCCUAGUAGCGGGGGAUAACUACGCAGCGUAGCUAUUACCGCAUACGCCCUUCGAGGAAAAGCGGGGGACCUUCGGGCCUCGCACUAUUAAAACAGCCGAUAUCGGAUUAGCUAGUUGGUGGGGUAACGGCUCACCAAGGCGACGAUCCCGUAGCUGGUUUUUGAGAGGACGACCAGCCACACUGGGACUGAGACCUGGCCCAGACUCCUACGGGAGGCAGCAGUGGGGAAUUUUGGACAAUGGAAACCCUGAUCCAGUAUCGCAUUAAUGCGAUGAAGGCCUUCGGGUUGUAAAGCACUUUUGGCAGGAAGAAACGGCCUGGGAUAUCCUGAUGCAACUGACGGUACCUGCAGAAUAAGCGCAAUAACUACGUGCCAGCAGCCGCGGUAAUACGUAGGGUGCAAGCGUUAAUCAGAUUACUGGGUAAAGCGUGCGCAGGCGGUUCCGGAAAAGAUGUGAAAUCCCCAGAGCUUAACUUUGGAACUGCAUUUUUAACUACACCGACUAGAAGUGUGUCAGAGGAGGUGGAAUUCCGCGUGUAGCAGUGAAAUGCGUAGAUAUGCGGGAGGAACACCGAUGGCGAGAGCGGCCUCCUUGGGAUAACACUGACGCUCAUGCACGAAAGCGUGGGGCAAACAGGAUUAGACACCCUGGUAGUCCACGCCCUAAACGGUAUCCAACUAGCUGUUGGGGCCUUCGGGCCUUGGUAGCGCAGCUACGCGUGAAGUUGACCCGCCUGGGAGUACGGUCGCAAGAUUAAAACUCAAAGGAAUUGACACGGGGACCCACACUGGCGGUGGAUGAUGUGGAUUAAGUGGUGCAACGCGAAAAGGCAACACCUUGACAUGUCUGGAAUCCCGAAGAGAUUUGGAGUGCUCGCAAGAGAACCGGAACACAGGUGCUGCAUGGCUGUCGUCGGCGCCAUUGUCAAGAUGUUGGGUUAAGUCCCGCAACGAGCGCAACCCUUGUCAUUAGUUGCUACGAAGGGCACUCUAAUGAGACUGCCGGUGACAAACCGGAGGAAGGUGAGGAUGACGUCAAGUCCUCAUGGCCCUUAUGGGUAGGGCUUCACGUCAUACAAUGGUCAGGACAAGAGGGUCGCCAACCCGCGAGGAGGCCAAUCCCAGAAACCCGAUCUCGUGAUCCGGAUCGCAGUCUGCCGAGCUCUGUUGCGUGAAGUCCCGGAAUCGCUAAUGUCGCGGAUCAGCAUGUCGCGGUGAAUACGUUCCCGGGUCUUGUACACACCGCCCGUCACACCAUGGGAGUGGGUUUUACCGGUAGUUAGCUAACCGUAAGGAGGGCGAUUACCACGGUAAAGUUCAUGACUGGGAGGUGAUCGUAACAAGGUAA
rnacentral:rRNA from 1 species